rnacentral:misc_RNA from 1 species
GAUGAAGAACGUAGCGAAAUGCGAUAAGUAGUGUGAAUUGCAGAAUUCAGUGAAUCAUCGAAUCUUUGAACGCACAUUUCGCCCCUUGGUAUUCCAUGGGGCAUGCCUGUUCGAGCGUCAUUUGUACCUUCAAGCUCUGCUUGGUGUUGGGUGUUUGUCUCGCCUCUGCGUGUAGACUCGCCUUAAAACAAUUGGCAGCCGGCGUAUUGAUUUCGGAGCGCAGUACAUCUCGCGCUUUGCACUCAUAACGACGACGUCCAAAAGUACAUUUUUACACUCUUGACCUCGGAUCAGGUAGGGAUACCCGCUGAACUUAAGCAUAUCAAUAAGCGGAGGA